UCGGGAAUUUUGGGCAAUGGGGGAAACCCUGACCCAGCAACGCCGCGUGAAGGAUGAAGUAUUUCGGUAUGUAAACUUCGAAAGAAUAGGAAGAAUAAAUGACGGUACUAUUUAUAAGCUCCGGCUAACUACGUGCCAGCAGCCGCGGUAAUACGUAGGGAGCAAGCGUUGUUCGGAUUUACUGGGCGUAAAGGGCGCGUAGGCGGCGCGGUAAGUCACUUGUGAAAUCUCUGAGCUUAACUCAGAACGGCCAAGUGAUACUGCAGUGCUAGAGUGCAGAAGGGGCAAUCGGAAUUCUUGGUGUAGCGGUGAAAUGCGUAGAUAUCAAGAGGAACACCUGAGGUGAAGACGGGUUGCUGGGCUGACACUGACGCUGAGGCGCGAAAGCUAGGGGAGCAAA
rnacentral:rRNA from 1 species